CUCUGUGGCCCUACCACCCCGAACGUGCCUGAUCUCAGAAGCUAAGCAGGGUUGGGCGUGGUUAGUACUCGAAUAGGGUUCUCUUCAAAAGUUCGCUUGCUUGGUCAAACAUUGAAGAGACAGAAU
ensembl:rRNA 5S_rRNA 5S ribosomal RNA